AUUGAACGCUGGCGGCAGGCCUAACACAUGCAAGUCGAGCGGAUGAAGGGAGCUUGCUCCUGGAUUCAGCGGCGGACGGGUGAGUAAUGCCUAGGAAUCUGCCUGGUAGUGGGUGAUAACGUCCGGAAACGGGCGCUAAUACCGCAUACGUCCUGAGGGAGAAAGUGGGGGAUCUUCGGACCUCACGCUAUCAGAUGAGCCUAGGUCGGAUUAGCUAGUUGGUGGGGUAAAGGCCUACCAAGGCGACGAUCCGUAACUGGUCUGAGAGGAUGAUCAGUCACACGGGAACUGAGACACGGUCCAGACUCCUACGGGAGGCAGCAGUCGGGAAUAUUGGACAAUGGGCGAAAGCCUGAUCCAGCCAUGCCGCGUGUGUGAAGAAGGUCUUCGGAUUGUAAAGCACUUUAAGUUGGGAGGAAGGGCAGUAAGUUAAUACCUUGCUGUUUUGACGUUACCAACAGAAUAAGCACCGGCUAACUUCGUG
rnacentral:rRNA from 1 species